UUAUCCUCCAGAUGCCUAGAAACGUACUUCUGAACUACAAACACAAAAUGAGAGGAGUUAAAGGAGUUUUGCCCAUCUUCUCCUUACCCAGAUGCUUGGGGAACAAAGUAGCAGAAUUAUUACUCUCUCCCACAUGACUAGUCUCCAGUGAUGUGGCCUCCCCACACACAGAAGGAUGACACAAUGUCUAUUUCCAGCUCUGUUUAUCAAAUCCUCCCAGUCACAGAACCAGCACCUACUGACUGCCUCAGGCCUGAGAAAGCAGCAUGCAGACUCUUCCAGAGUGAGACUGGUUUUGUUUCUCUGACCAGACACUUGUGAGACUUGAAAACAACUUCCUUAAAAGCAUCCAGGAAAUCUCAUGGUUACAGGGAAUCAUAUCUAAUUAGCAGUGGAAAAUGCUUAGGAGUUGCUCUGAUGCUCUGGAGGCCCAAGACAGGAACUUUCCCAAGGGUUUUUUAAAGCAAAGCACUGCAAUCCUCAGCUGUUUGUACAGAGCAGUCAGCCAGGAUUUGUAGCUAUUUCAAGAGGAGCUGGACUUGCCCGGCAACACCGCUGACAGUAACAAAGUUAA